rnacentral:rRNA from 1 species
UACGGAGGGUGCAAGCGUUAUCCGGAUUCACUGGGUUUAAAGGGUGCGUAGGUGGGCAAGUAAGUCAGUGGUGAAAUACGGCAGCUCAACUGUCGAGGUGCAAUUGAUACUGAUGGACUUGAGUACUGAUGAGGUAAGCGGAAUGGACGGUGUAGCGGUGAAAUGCUUAGAUAUCGUCCAGAACACCGAUAGCGAAGGCAGCUUACUAAGGAGUAACUGACGCUGAGGCACGAAAGUGUGGGGAUCAAACAGG